rnacentral:rRNA from 1 species
CCUACGGGUGGCAGCAGUGAGGAAUAUUGGUCAAUGGACGCAAGUCUGAACCAGCCAUGUCGCGUGCAGGAAGACGGCUCUAUGAGUUGUAAACUGCUUUUGUACGAGGGUAAACGCAGAUACGUGUAUCUGUCUGAAAGUAUCGUACGAAUAAGGAUCGGCUAACUCCGUGCCAGCAGCCGCGGUAAUACGGAGGAUUCAAGCGUUAUCCGGAUUUAUUGGGGUUAAAGGGUGCGUAGGCGGGCGGAUAAGUUAGAGGGGAAAUCCCGAGGCUCAACUUCGGAAUUGCGUGUGAUAGUGUGCGGCUAGAGGGUAGUUGCAGUAGGCGGAAGGUAUGGUGUAGCGGUGAAAUGCUUAGAGAUCAUACAGAACACCGAUUGCGAAGGCAGCUUACCAAGCUACUUCUGACGUUGAGGCACGAAAGCGUGGGGAGCAAACAGGAUUAGAUACCCUGGUAGUC